GACGAACGCUGGCGGCGUGCUUAACACAUGCAAGUCGAACGGAAAGGCCCUGCUUUUGUGGGGUGCUCGAGUGGCGAACGGGUGAGUAACACGUGAGUAACCUGCCCUUGACUUUGGGAUAACUUCAGGAAACUGGGGCUAAUAACGGAUAGGAGCUCCUGCUGCAUGGUGGGGGUUGGAAAGUUUCGGCGGUUGGGGAUGGACGCGCGGCUUAUCAGCUUGUUGGUGGGGUAGUGGCUUACCAAGGCUUUGACGGGUAGCCGGCCUGAGAGGGUGACCGGCCACAUUGGGACUGAGAUACGGCCCAGAAUCCUACGGGAGGCAGCAGUGGGGAAUAUUGCACAAUGGGCGGAAGCCUGAUGCAGCAACGCCGCGUGCGGGAUGACGGCCUUCGGGUUGUAAACCGCUUUCGCCUGUGACGAAGCGUGAGUGACGGUAAUGGGUAAAGAAGCACCGGCUAACUACGUG
rnacentral:rRNA from 1 species